rnacentral:rRNA from 1 species
UGGCGGCAGGUAUUAACACAUGCAACCCCGAGCGCCCCACCUGUGGGGAGCGGCGGACGGGAUAGUAACGCGUGGGAACGUGCCCUUUUCUGCGGAAUAGCCUCUGGAAACGGAGAGUAAUACCGCAUACGCCCUUUUGGGGAAAGAUUUAUCGGAGAAGGAUCGGCCCGCGUUAGAUUAGGUAGUUGGUGGGGUAAUGGCCUACCAAGCCUACGAUCUAUAGCUGGUUUGAGAGGAUGAUCAGCAACACUGGGACUGAGACACGGCCCAGACUCCUACGGGAGGCAGCAGUGGGGAAUCUUAGACAAUGGGGGCAACCCUGAUCUAGCCAUGCCGCGUGAGUGAAGAAGGCCCUAGGGUCGUAAAGCUCUUUCGCCUGUGAUGAUAAUGACAGUAGCAGGUAAAGAAACCCCGGCUAACUCCGUGCCAGCAGCCGCGGUAAUACGGAGGGGGUUAGCGUUGUUCGGAAUUACUGGGCGUAAAGCGCACGUAGGCGGACUAAUCAGUCAGGGGUGAAAUCCCGGGGCUCAACCCCGGAACUGCCUUUGAUACUGCUAGUCUUGAGUUCGAGAGAGGUGAGUGGAAUUCCAAGUGUAGAGGUGAAAUUCGUAGAUAUUUGGAGGAACACCAGUGGCGAAGGCGGCUAACUGGCUCGAUACUGACGCUGAGGUGCGAAAGUGUGGGGAGCAAAACAGGAUUAGAAUACCCUGGUAGUCCACACCGUAAAACGAUGAAUGCC